CCCUUAGAUGUUCUGGGCUGCACGCGCGCUACACUGACGCACGCAACAGGUGCCUGCUCCGAGAGGACUGGGUAAUCAUUUGAGUGUGCGUCGUGAUGGGGAUAGAAUAUUGUAAUUAUUACUCUUCAACGAGGAAUUCCUAGUAAGCGCCAGUCAGCAGCUUGCGCUGAUUACGUCCCUGCCCUUUGUACACACCGCCCGUCGCUCCUACCGAUGGGUGAUCCGGUGAAUGAUUCGGACUUCAGCGGCUCCCCUGGGGUGCGCCGGAGAAAGUUUUGUGAACCUUAUCACUUGGAGGAAGGAGAAGUCUUAACA
rnacentral:rRNA from 1 species